CUGCAAGCUUCAUUCAUGGUAAAUGCCCUAUACCGGCCUACCAUUUAAAAAUCUUUAUACCAAAUUUUUACUGUGCCUUUUCUAUGUUUAGAUGCAUAAAUACCAUUGUGUUACAAUUGCCUACAGUAUUCAGUACCAUAACAUGCUGUACAGGUUGACAGCCUGGGAGCAAGAGGCUGUUCCAUAUAGCCUGGGUAUGUAGUAGGCUAUAUACCACCUAGGUUUGUGUCAGUAUGCUCUAUGUUGCUCGCACAGUGAUGAAAUCACCUGAAGACAUGUUUCUCAGAACAUACCCCUUCGUUAGGUGACGCAUGACUAUAUUUUUUCACUUUUUCACUUCCAAAUAACAGCAAGCUACGUGACCAUAAAAACUUCAUUCAUGGGCCAAAGCCGUUUGCACAUGUAUGCACUGGUCCAUCACCAAACAUGGAGGAAGAGUUAAACUUGGGGAUCCAGUUAAAUUUUGUUCAGCAUUCAGUACCAUCUACCACACUAAGCGCCCUCCCUGCCUCUCUUUUGACAUCUUUUUCUCCCCGCUCUCAAUCACCCAGUGCCCUCAGAUCACCCCAUUCCAGCACCUUGUUACCUGUUCUCAUAGCACCUUGUUCUUCUCUUUCUCAGACACUGUCAUAGUUCAAAUUUUAUUUCUCUCCUACUAGACUCCCAUCUCUCAGAGGGGCUGGCUCUGCUUUUGCUCAACACUGUAUGCCAGUUUUUGGCAUGAUGUCUGGAACAACACAGACCUUCAAUAAACAUUUGUGGAAUAAAUGAAUGGAUGGGUGGAUGGACAGAUGAAUGGAUGGAUGAGGCCUGUUCCCAAAGCAGCAUUCCAGGUGCUCUGGUGGACAAGAUGAUGUCCCCGCUGGAGUGGUGACUUUGAAGAAGGCAACCUCGAUGCUGAAGUGUAAAUUCUGAAAUACAUGUUUUUUUAAAGAAAAUUAGCUGUGAAAAGGAGGUGGACUUUGCUGAGAGGAGAGCCCACCUAGGAAGCCCAGAUGCCUAGCAGAUGAGGGACUUGCAGACCCCGUCUUCUUUUGGGAUUUUGGGCAAGGAGGUCUAUUCCUAAGGCAACACUAGCAUUGCACCCACUUAUUGGCCUCAGUGUAACCAACAAUCUGUAUCAUUGCCUCUGCCCCUGCUAAUAAGUCUCUCUCACAAGCAUCUUUCCAAUACUCUAUUUUAGACUAUGUUUAUCCUUAUGACAAAACGCACAUCUCAUUAUUAAUUGAGGCUCAGAGAGGACGAGCAGCUGUUGUUUCUCACUUUGCUUUACAAAACUUCAAAAGCCUCCAUUAAACUCCCUGGACAAAAGUGUUCAAGGGGCCACGGCUCUCAUGUCACUUAGCCCCAUUUCCCCUAAAGGCUUUGUUUAUGUGGAAACUGGAGAAAAAGGGAGAGCAGCAAAAAAGAAGGCAAAAUUUGAGAAACCAGACACUGAUGCUGUGAGCAGAAGCCAACAGAACUGUGGAAUGGUAUCUCCCACCCUUUAACUGAAGCCUGGGUGCCAUUGAAAAGCUAGAGAGGACUUGCAACAAACUGGUGGGCCUGGGGGGUGGGAGGAGGUAGAAUGUGGCCCAAACCCCAAACUUCCCAGGAAAAUUAUCUUGGACCUUUUCAAAAAAAGUUCUGCUUCUUGGAAAGCAGCUCACAUUAAAUCAGAGCCAUGGGCAUGAACUGCAGGAAUGGCUUCUUUUCUAAGCUGUGUAGAAAUAUGUGACCAACUUAACUUCAGCUGAGGCCAGCUUGAGAAACAGAUCACAUUAUAGCAGGCUCCAGGCUGCCCACACUGAGAAAGACUCAGGAAAACGUUGUGGAGUGAGUCUGUUGCAAAAAUGUGAAGAAGGUUUGACCAGCUGCUUGAAAAUCAAACUGUCUUUUGGUCCUUGCACCUGGUAGGCACUUGGUAAAUAUUGGUUGAGUGAAUAAACAAUUUUCUACUGAGAAUCCUGAUGAUUUGUAAAAACCCAUUUAUUCUUUCCAAACCUUUUUGAUCUUGAUGACCUCAUAUUAUCCUCAAGACACCUGUCUCAUGUUUGCCACCACUGGGAACUAGACAUGAAGGGCAUUAGUAUUACCAUUUAUCGGUGAGAUAAAUUGAGGUGUGUUUGGUCAGGGUCACGUGGAAAGUAUUUGGAGAAGCAGGCUCAGCAUCAGGGCUCCUGGCUUGUUUCUCAAUGCCCUUUCCACACAGCCAUGAUGCCUCACUCUCAGGAUAGGAGCUGACAUUUAUUGAGCGUGUACUAUAUGCCAGACACCAUGCUAAGAGCUAUACAUGUGUUAUCUCCUAUAUCACAACCAUCUUCUGAUGUGACUAUUAUUAUACCCAUUUUACAGAGAAGGAAAAUAAGGUACAGAGAGAGGGGGUUAAAGUAAGGAGAGAGGGAAAGACAUGUAGCUCAGAAAUGGUGCAGCCAGGGUUUGGCCCAGGAUGUCUGGCACAAAUCUAUGCACUUAACCACUAUCAAAUUACCGUCUUGAGACAAAAGUGAUAUAAUAUUACCUGGCCAAAAAAAAAUUUUUUUAAAAAGAAAAUCAGAGAAAGAGGGAAUGUUUACUCCAAAAGGAUGGCCCCCUAAGGGAGAACUCUUGGGUAUUUGAGGGCUAAGGGAGGCAUCUGGGGGUAAAUAGUACUCUAUGGAAUCUUCUCUGCUCCAGAGUCCUCAGUCUUUGAAAUCUAUGUGAUUGGGACAAAUUUUGUAAGGAACACUCAAAUGUAUUCCAGUUUACUGAAAAUUGUGGCCUGUUGCCCUGGUUUUUACCGAUCCUGUCUAAUCUCUUGCCUAAGGGGGUCAACUGUAAUAAAUAAUCUAUUUUUAUUCAAAGGUCCAGUGGAUUUCAAUAGUUGUUUCCAAAUCAUGUCUGCUCUCAUUUGGCCCUGUUUUGAUUACAAUAGAGAGGAUGAUAUUGAUUUUUUAAUUCAUAUUUCCUCUCUAUUGAUACAUUUCCAAGACUCACCUACAAAUAAAAGAGCAAUAUUCUCACUAUGAGUAAUUAAAGGAUUAUAAUCAGUUUCCCUCAUAAUAUUAUACAUGUAAUGCUUCUUAUUGUUAAAAGUGCAUUUAGAGUGGACAUAGUUUUAAUAAUUUUUAAAAAGGGAAAAAUAUUUCCUAUAUGUCAGUAUUUUUAAGGUAACAAAUGAAAGAAACUCGAAUAAAACCACCACAGUAAUGAAGAAAAUGUAUUAGUUCAUAUGACUAGGAAACUCAGGAGUUGAGUGGGCCUGAGAAACUCCUAAGACUCAAUGAUGUCAUUUGCCCCCUCUCUCCCUCUUUCAUUCUCUGUCCCCACCAUCUGUUUCUGCUUCUCUGGCAUUUGAGCCUCAGUUUCUUCCAUUAAGUUUGAAUCUCUGCCACGGGCAGGGGCAGAGGGAAGAGAAGCAUGGCCUCAAACAGUUUCAAGCAUAAUCACUGCUAAUGAAAGUUCCCAGAGGAAACCAAGUGUCCUAGUCUGUUUGCGUUGUCAUAAAGGAAUACAUAAAACUGGGUAAUUUAUAAAGAAAAGAGGCUUAUUUGGCUCACCAUUCUGUGGGCUGUAUAUGGAGCAUAAAGCCAGCAUCUGCAUCUGGUGAGGGCCUCAGGAAGCUUACAGUCCUGGCAGAAGCUAAAGGGGGCAGCUUGUCACAUGAUGAGAGAGGGAGCAAGAGACAGAGGAGAAGGUGCCAAGCUCCUUUUAAACAAGCAGCUCUUGUGUGAACUAAUAGAGCAGGAACUCACUUAUAACCAAAGAAAUGGUGCUAAGCCAUUCAUGGGGGAUCUGCCCCCAUGAUCAAACACCUUCCACCAGGCCCUAUCUCUAAUAUUAGGGAUCACAUUUUAACAUGCAAUUUGGAGGGAACAAACAUCCAAACCAUACCACUGGGGUUUUCUCACUAAGCAUAAAAAUAAAUUAUCCCAAGGAAGGAUCUACUUGGUUUCCAUGGUUUAAGUGUUUAAUGCUUGGCCAAUCAUCAUGGUCACUGGGGAGGAUUUCAAUUGGCCAGGCAUAAAACACAGGCUCACUCCUGUAGUCAAGGGGUGAGCACUGUGAUUAACAGCCCUUCUAGAAUGAUGGGCAGUGAGAAUAGGCACAGUAUCCCGAAGAGAGUUGGAAGCUGUAAGGAGAAACUGUCUAGUGUCAUAUGGGGCAUUCUGUGGCCUUUGCAGAAACAUAAGCAUCAUGUCAGGUCAUCUCUAAUGCAGCCUUAAUCAUCUGAGCAAAAUAGGAGAUUUUGGCUAGAAUCCGAAUUCAUGUUCUACUCUCCCAAUUAUACACCCCAAAAACUCACACACACACACACGCACGCACAAACACACACACACACCCCUUCCUAUAUACUUAGUGAGUGCCUACAAUAUAUUAGAAAGAUGCACAAUGUUAUGUUUCAUGAAGCACAGACUCUACAAGUUACCAAGUGUGGGAUUGCUAUGGCUUGAAUGUCCUCUUCAUGUUGAAAUUAAUUGCCAUUGUGAUUAUUUAAGAGGUGGGACUUAAAUAAUCCCACCUCUUAAAAGGUGGGACUGUUAAGAGGUGAUUGGGCCUUGAGAGCUCUACCCUUAUUAAUGGAUUAAUGUCAAUGUUGCAGGAGUGGGUUUAUUAUUUUGAGGGUCAGUUUUUAUAAAAGCAAGUUCAGCCUUCUCUUGCUCUUGUGGGUUCUCUUGCCCUUCUACCUUCUGCUGUGGGAUGAUGCAGCAAGAAGGCCCUUGCCAGAUGCCAGCAGCUUGGUAUUGGACUUUCCGGCCUCCAGAACUGUGAGAAAUAAGUUUCUUUUCUUUAUAAAUUACCAAAUCUGUGGUGUUCUGUUACAGCAGCACAAUAUGGACUAAGACAGUGACCUUGAACAAGUUACUCUUCCUCUUCUUACUUCACUUUCCUCAUCUCUAAUGGGAAUAAUGGUAUUCUGUACCUCAUAAGAUUUUUGAGAGGAUACAUGUGUUCAUAUAUGUAAAGUAGUCAGUAUAGUCCCUGGCACACAGCAAAUACUAAAUAGGUGUUUAUUGUUAUUAGCAUUCAUAUUAGUAUUGUGUGACCUUGGACAGGUUGUAUCACAUCUUCAGGUUGUACCUCUAUAAAAUGGGAACAAUAUACCCAUUUCAAAGUGUGAAGUUUAGGUUAAAAUUGCACAUAUAGAGCACGAAGUAUAUUGCAAAUGAAUAAGACUGGCCAUUAUAAAGUGGAAAAUGUAAUUGCUUUACAACUCCUGACCCCAUUCCUGGGCCCUUACCAUGGAGAGAGAGAAAAAAGAUCUUGUGGUAGACCACAACCUUGCAGAUGAUUCCCUUCCCAGCGAAUGUAAUCCAGUGUUACUCCUGAAUGUCCAGUCUCUACAAGUGCCCAAUUGGUCUGUUCCUGUCUACAAAUAGUUCCAACAUUUUAUCUAAGUAAAUUAGCAAAACUCAUGUACUUCUGAUGGAAAGAAAAGACAAUUUCUCACCAUUUCGACGAUAUUUGACUCUUCUCUUUUCUUGCUUCAUAUUUCCUAUUCCAAUCCAUAGAACCUUGUUUGAAAUUUUAGCCUUAAAAUUGACUAAUAAAUACUGCCUAAAUCACAGGCCACAAAAACUGGUGACAAGUUAAGCAUAUGAUAACAAUUAAGAUGGUACCCAAGCUAAUCUUUAACAUUUUAAAGUUUCUUUAAGAGUGAAUUCACAGCUGUCUCCUGCAUACACCUUUGUCUUAAAUAAUUUCUGGUAGAAUUUUAUCACUUUGUCAUCUUUCUGAUGUCAAAUUACUCUUAAAUCUCUUUUCCCAGAAACAGAAUCUGGCUUUAAGUUCUUAGAGUCGGAAAGUAGGCCAAAUAAUUGGAUAAAGCAAGACCCUGGGCCACUUUGCAAAGUUUUGCCUGAGCCAACAUUAUUUCCUUAUGGAGCUUUUAAAACUUAAACACCUAUAUAUUAGUAACAAUGCUAGGCAGUAGACGGGACUCUUGGACUAGAAAGCGAAAUGUUGGAUAUAGGCUUUUGUUUUGUUUUGUUUUGUUUUGUUUAAACAGCUUUAUUGUGGUGUACCUGGCAUAUAAUCAACUGUACACAUUGAAAGGGUCAACUUUGCUAAGUUUUUAUGGAUUACAUAUACCUGUGAAAUCACCACCACAAUAAACAAAAAGAACACACAAAUCACCCUCUAGAGGUUCUUUAUGGCAUUGUGAUUUCUCUUUUCUCUACUCCUAAAAUGUUAUCAACUCUUUCCAAGUUAAAAAAAAAAAAAAACAAACAAACACUAUUUCUUUAUAAUGAGAAGCAAAGAUUUUAAUACGUAUUUGGGAAAGCUAGCGAGAAUCUUAGAGUGGGGUGAUAACUCUUUCACAAAACUGACUUCUAGAUCUGGGAGAGGAAUGAUUAUUCACCCCAUUUUGUCAAGUGUCUGCUUUCCUAGCUGAAGCUCUGCCAACUAUGAAAAGAUGUUUGGGGCCAGGCAUGGUGGCUCACACC
rnacentral:lncRNA from 1 species